CGCAGGUGCACCCAGAAACCCUUUGUGAACUUAUACCUAUUAUCGUUGCCUCGGCGCUGGCUGCCCCUCCCUCCGGAGGGGGCCCCCUCCUAGACGUAAAACCUCUAGGGGACGGACAGCAGGCCCGCCGGUGGCCUAUUUAACUCUUGUAUUUACCGAGUAACAUCUGAGUAAGCUUCUAAAUGAAUCAAAACUUUCAACAACGGAUCUCUUGGUUCUGGCAUCGAUGAAGAACGCAGCGAAAUGCGAUAAGUAAUGUGAAUUGCAGAAUUCAGUGAAUCAUCGAAUCUUUGAACGCACAUUGCGCCCUCUGGUAUUCCAGAGGGCAUGCCUGUUCGAGCGUCAUUUCAACCCUCAAGCCCUGCUUGGUGUUGGGGCAUUACCCGGUCACACGGGUAAGCCCUGAAAUUUAGUGGCGAGCUCGCCAGGACUCCGAGCGCAGUAGUUAAACCCUCGCUUUGGAUCGUACUGGCGCGGCCCUGCCGUAAAACCCCCAACUUCUGAAAAUUUGACCUCGGAUCAGGUAGGAAUACCCGCUGAACUUAAGCAUAUCAAUAAGGGGAGGAAAUCAAGCCCAGCUUGGUAUUGGGUCAUCGUCUGGUCAAACGGGCGUACCUGAAAAUCAGUGGCGGUGCCCAUCCGGCUUCAAGCAUAGUAACUUUUCUCUUGCUUUGGAAGGUCCGGAGGGUACACUGGCCAACAACCCCCAAAUUUUGUUUUCUAUGGUUGACCUCGGAUCAGGUAGGAAUACCCGCUGAACUUAAGCAUAUCAAUUAGCGGA
rnacentral:rRNA from 1 species